rnacentral:rRNA from 1 species
AACGAACGUUAGCGGCGCGCCUAACACAUGCAAGUCGAGCGCGACUGGGGGCAACUCCAGUUGAGUGGCGCACGGGUGAGUAACACGUAGGUAAUCUCCCCUCGAGUGGUGGAUAACCUUCCGAAAGGAGGGCUAAUACAGCAUAAGACCACGGCCUCGAAAGAGGCUGAGAUCAAAGCGGAGGAUCGCAAGACUUCGCGCUUGAGGAUGAGCCUGCGGCCCAUCAGGUAGUUGGCGGAGUAACAGCCCACCAAGCCUAAGACGGGUAGCUGGUCUGAGAGGAUGAUCAGCCACACUGGAACUGAGACACGGUCCAGACUCCUACGGGAGGCAGCAGUGGGGAAUCUUGCGCAAUGGACGAAAGUCUGACGCAGCGACGCCGCGUGGGUGAUGAAGGCCUUCGGGUUGUAAAGCCCUGUGGGGAGGGACGAAUAAGUUGCAGCUAAUACCUGCAGCGAUGACGGUACCUCCUUAGCAAGCACCGGCUAACUCUGUGCCAGCCGCCGCAGUAA